rnacentral:lncRNA from 1 species
CAGCUGGUGUGGGUCCCUCUGCCGGGGCCUUGCUGGAAUCUGCUGGCUCCUGGCGCGGCUCUGCCUGGCGGCUUUACCUUUUCAUAGUACCAGUUCUCAGGGACUGGUGGGCACCUCCACUCAGAGGGGUGGGGGGAGGGGGACACUGCCACAGUGGGGCCAGGCCAGGGGCACACCCCCCUGCAGAGCGAGGCCUGGCCCUUUGUGACAUCAGCGGGGCGGGCGCUGGGCGGGGCGGAUCCCGCCCCCAGCCCCGCAUUGGCACAGGCGGGCACACCAGCCUGCCCCCCACCGCGCAGGUCGGCACCCUGGCGGGACUAGGAUCUGGAGCUUGCUUCUGCUGGGCCUGUGGGCUGGGCUCCCGGGAGCCAAGGAGCAGAGGCAGGGUCAGCCGCAGGACCGAGCCCAGCGUUCCUAAUUAGAUGAUCCUGGCAAUCACUCGGCUAAUUCCCUCCAGCCUCCUGCAGCCCUGCCCAGCCUGGGGCAGCUCACCCCACCCCCGCAGUCCAACCGACCCAGCCAGAUGGGCAGUCCGGGCCUUUGCUCCCCUCAGGGCCCUUGGUUCUCUAACUGCAUUACCUUCAGGAUGGAUGGGUGACAGCGAUGGAUGGGCCACUGGAUGGACACUGACAGAAAAUGGGAAUAAGAUGCUGGACUUGGAAGCAUCCCUGCAGGAAGAAGGGAGGAAAGGGCCUUCAGCUGAGCCAGCCCCACCUGGGUACAAACAGAUGGAACAAAGGCCAACCCACCCAGGCACCCUGGCGCCAGGCCCCUGUGGAAUCAUAAAGGCACCAUCUCCUGCUAAGGAGGCCACUUGCAACACUUGGCCUGCCUGCCCUGCCCUGCCCCGCCUGGGAGCUUUGAGGCCACAAAAUCGAAACUGUUUACCCGCACAAUGA